UACGAGAGGCCCAAACGUUAUUCGGAAUUACUGGGCUUAAAGAGUUCGUAGGCGGCAUUGCAAGUAGGGUGUGAAAGCCCUCGGCUCAACCGAGGAAUUGCGCUCUAAACUGCAGUGCUUGAGGAAGCUAGAGGUGAGCAGAACAGAUGGUGGAGCGGUGAAAUGCGUUGAUAUCAUUUGGAACGCCAAUGGUGAAAACAGCUCGCUGGGGCUGCGCUGACGCUGAGACACGAAAGCCAGGGGAGCGAACGGG
rnacentral:rRNA from 1 species